CUGCCCUGCACAUUGCUGCUCCAGCCUCCAGGUCAGCCUAUCAUCUCUCUCCCCGAGCCCGAGUUAAAACCACACAAAAAAUCCAACCAAACCCUAACCCCCACGAAAUCCCCUCCCUCCCCAAUCCUUAGAACCCUAGCUCCUUUUAUUAAAGGCCAUAAAGUUUAUCCCUAAAACAGUGCUCCUUCGAUCCUAAACCUCAACUUUCUGUUGUUGACGAUGGACCUGCAGCGAGCUAUGUUAGAUGAACUGAUGGGAGCUGACCGUAAUUUGACGGACGACCAGAAAAAAGAGUACAAAGAAAUAACGUGGGAUUCUAAGGAGGUCUGUCCAUAUUAUAUGGCUCGGUUUUGUCCUCAUGACCUCUUUGUCAACACCAAAAGUGAUCUUGGGCCGUGUGAUAGGAUUCAUGAUGCAAAGUUGAAAGAAAGCUUUGAGAAGUCCCCAAGACAUGAUAGAUAUCUGUCUAAAUUUGAAGCUGAACUUGCUCAGCGCUGUGAGAAAUUGGUGAUGGAUUUGGAUAGAAGAGUUAGGCGUGGCCGAGAACGUCUAGCUCAAGGGGAGGAGCCUGUACCACCUCCUCCACUGUCAACUGAAAAGUCUGAACAGUUAUCUGUGGUAGAGGAGAAAAUAAAGAAUCUACUGGUGCAAGUGGAGUCCCUUGGUGAAGCUGGAAAGGUGGAUGAAGCUCAAGCUCUUAUGAAAAAGGUUGACGAGCUCAAUGCCGAGAAGACAUUGAUUCAGUCCCAGAAUGAUAAAGUAUUGAUGGUUCCACAGGAAAAAAAGAUGGCCUUAUGCGAGAUUUGUGGUUCUUUUCUAGUAGCAAAUGAUGCUGCUGAAAGAACCCAGUCUCAUGUCACAGGGAAGCAACACAUAGGUUAUGGCAUGGUCCGAGAUUUCAUUGUAGAAUACAAGGAAGCUAAGGAGAAGGGAAGGGAAGAGGAGAGACUAGCUAGGGAGAAAGAAGCUGAAGAACGGAGAAAGCAGAGGGAGAAGGAAAACAAGAAGAGGAGGAAGAGGAGCGGUUCUGAUGAUAGGGACCGGUAUCGUGAUAGAGAUCAAGACAGGGAGAGGGACCGCAAUCGAGAACGUGAACGGGAUCGUGAAAGGUCACGAGACCGGAAUGGCAGAGCAAGUGGGGACGGAGGAAAGGGAACAGAUUGGAGGUCCAGGAAUGGAAGAGAUAGUGGCAGGGAUAGAUAUCGCGAUCGGAGUAGGUCACGUUCCCCUGUUAGACAUGGUCACAGGAGAUCCUCUAGAAGUCCAGUUCGCCCAUAUUAAAUGGAUUAUGUAGAUAGAUAUCCAAGCUUUUAAAUUAAAUGAGGUAGACCUUUCCAAUCUUGAAGUUUUAUGAGCAUGCGUUUUUGGACUCUUGAGUUCAAUCAACAUUAUGGGUAAAAUUGUUUCUUGCUAUAUCACAGCUUGUUGAGACUAUACCUCCCUUACAUCAAAUAUUAAUAGAGGAGAAAGGUUGAGAGGACAGAGUCAAAUUAUAUGCAUGAAUGACACUGCUGCUGAUAGGGACGAUGAUAUUAUGUCUCAGUUUCGAGGUAACCAUAUCUUAUUUCUAUUAUGGCCCUUACCAUGCUUAUCAUAGAUUUGAUGUUUCUCAUUCAAGUUGAUGUAUUUUUGUUUGAUACUGCUGUUUCCUCCACUAAAAAAUGAUGAAAGUCUAAAAUCCCAAAAUUUAUUAGGAUUAACCAUGUUCAAUUUAAAAUUAUUAGGCGGGAUGAUCAAUAAAUUAUAUCAACAUGUCGACAAUCUACAAGGUAGGGGUGGUCAUUGCUCCUUUCCUUGCUUUCUGAACCCAUUGUUUGGUGGAACUUGAAUCAUUGGUCAUGCGAAUGAAAGGGCUUUUAUUAAGACCAAUGGGCUUUGCGUCGUUGAAGGUAGAAAAUUGUGAAAGCUUUAUAAUUCAUGUUCAUGCAGAAAUGGAUUUCCUCCUUUUACAGAAUAGGAUAUUUUUGGAGUCAAUUUCAAAAUCAGGUUCAGACAAUUGUAGGUAACUACUACUCUUUGCAGCGUGAUUUUCAUGGCUUCUGAGCCGUCUGUUUAAAGCACGAUUGCUUUAAUGCUGUUUUUUUACACUUCUUUGAUAAUGCACUUCAGUGGACUGGGAUGCAAGGUUAUGCAACGUUGCAAAACCUGUAACUUGCACUUUUGUGGGCGGCUUGGAGGUAACUUAAUAGAUGUGUAUGAUAUGUCGUAUACCUUCUUUCUAUUCCAGUUUGCAGGGAAGACAAUUUAAUCUGGUGAACCUGGAUGGUAUAGUAGCUGCUGGUAAAUGGGUAAAUGAUUGGUUUGUGCAGGGAAAAAUAUUUUCAAAUUGAAAGAUACGAAGUGAGAUGUAAUUCUUUUAGGAACCAUUUGUAAGAGCAAUUUGCAGCUGAUAUUACUAUAUAAUCUUGAUUUGCUUCUGCCAUGUGGAAAUGGCUGUGGUUUCUGUACACACUAUAGAAUUUGAACUGGUUUAUGUUAUUUUGGGUUAUACAAAUGUCCAGUGGUCAGUUGAUGGGGAUUGUUAUGCAGAGAGAGAAGAGAAACGGCAUAUUUACUAGCUUGUGAUACUAAAUCUUUAACCAUUGAUUUAAUGCCACCCACUUUGAUUAAGUUUACUAUUAGCAUGGAGAUGUAGCGUUGUAAUGUGUCAAAGCACAUAUUCCCUGCCGAAAUGGUUCACAUUCCGGAUGCAAUUGUCAUGGCUAAUUGGAUUGUGCCUUCGUGCCAUUUUAACAGCAAA